rnacentral:rRNA from 1 species
GAUGAACGCUGGCGGCGUGCCUAAUACAUGCAAGUCGAGCGAACGGACGAGAAGCUUGCUUCUCUGAUGUUAGCGGCGGACGGGUGAGUAACACGUGGAUAACCUACCUAUAAGACUGGGAUAACUUCGGGAAACCUUAUCUAAUACCGGAUAAUAUUUUGAACCGCAUGGUUCAAAAGUGAAAGACGGUCUUGCUGUCACUUAUAGAUGGAUCCGCGCUGCAUUAGCUAGUUGGUAAGGUAACGGCUUACCAAGGCAACGAUGCAUAGCCGACCUGAGAGGGUGAUCGGCCACACUGGAACUGAGACACGGUCCAGACUCCUACGGGAGGCAGCAGUAGGGAAUCUUCCGCAAUGGGCGAAAGCCUGACGGAGCAACGCCGCGUGAGUGAUGAAGGUCUUCGGAUCGUAAAACUCUGUUAUUAGGGAAGAACAUAUGUGUAAGUAACUGUGCACAUCUUGACGGUACCUAAUCAGAAAGCCACGGCUAACUACGUG